rnacentral:rRNA from 1 species
GAGGAAUAUUGGUCAAUGGGUGCAAGCCUGAACCAGCCAUCCCGCGUGAAGGACGACUGCCCUAUGGGUUGUAAACUUCUUUUGUAUAGGGAUAAACCUACCCUCGUGAGGGUAGCUGAAGGUACUAUACGAAUAAGCACCGGCUAACUCCGUGCCAGCAGCCGCAGUAAUACGGAGGGUGCAAGCGUUAUCCGGAUUUAUUGGGUUUAAAGGGUCCGUAGGCGGACUUAUAAGUCAGUGGUGAAAGCCUGUCGCUUAACGAUAGAACUGCCAUUGAUACUGUAAGUCUUGAGUAUAUUUGAGGUAGCUGGAAUAAGUAGUGUAGCGGUGAAAUGCAUAGAUAUUACUUAGAACACCAAUUGCGAAGGCAGGUUACCAAGAUAUAACUGACGCUGAGGGACGAAAGCGUGGGGAGCGAACA